GUGGACGUGCCGGAGUGGUUAUCGGGCAUGACAAGAAAUCAUGUGGGCUCUGCCCGCGCAGGUUUGAAUCCUGCCGUUCACG
rfam:Gossypium hirsutum cultivar TM-1 chromosome 16, whole genome shotgun sequence